rnacentral:rRNA from 1 species
CCUACGGGAGGCAGCAGUGGGGAAUAUUGGGCAAUGGGCGCAAGCCUGACCCAGCAACGCCGCGUGAAGGAAGAAGGCUUUCGGGUUGUAAACUUCUUUUCUGAGGGACGAAGAAAGUGACGGUACCUCAGGAAUAAGCCACGGCUAACUACGUGCCAGCAGCCGCGGUAAUACGUAGGUGCAAGGGUUAACCGGGUUUAAUGGGUGUAAAGGGCGGGUAGGCGGGAAAGCAAGUCAGAUGUGAAAACUCAGGGCUCAACCCUGAGCCUGCAUUUGAAACUGUUUUUCUUGAGUGCUGGAGAGGCAAUCGGAAUUCCGUGUGUAGCGGUGAAAUGCGUAGAUAUACGGAGGAACACCAGUGGCGAAGGCGGAUUGCUGGACAGUAACUGACGCUGAGGCGCGAAAGCGUGGGGAGCAAACAGGAUUAGAUACCCGAGUAGUC